AUGUCCAAUGGCCAUUGGAAUUUUAUCUAUCCUUCUAUUUUUCAAGAUAAUUCAGAUUUGUUGGCGAAAAAGCGAAGAAAUAGGUUCGUCAUUCCAUUACAAUAUCAUCAAGAACAAGAGAAAGAACUAAUAUCCUGUUUUGGGAUUUCGAUUGAAAUCCCCCUUAUGGGGGUUUUAUGUAGAAAUACUAUUUUUGCUUAUUUUGACGAUCCCCAAUACAAAAAAGAGAAAAAGGGUUCAAGAAUUGUUAAAUUUAGAUAUAGGACCCUAGAAGAAGAAUAUAGGACUCAAGCGGAAGACUCUGAAGAGGAACAUGAGACCCUAGAAGACGAAUACAGGACCCGAGAGGACGAAUAUGAAUAUGAAACCCCAGAAGAAUCUAAAUAUGGAAUCCUAGAAGACGAAUACGAAUAUGAAACCCUAGAAGACGAAUAUGGGAGCCCAGAAAACGAAUAUGGGAACCCAGAGAACGAAUAUAGGACUUUAGAGAAAGACUCAGAAGAGGAAUAUGGGAGCCCAGAGAGCAACUAUAGGACCCAAGAGGACGAAUAUGGAACUCUAGAGGAAGACUCAGAAGACGAAUAUUGGUGGGCCAAUAAUGAAUUUUUUUGCAUAUGUAUUAAGACGCUUGGCCUCCAGUAUCCGAGACAGAAAGCAGCAUCCACGUGA
rnacentral:rRNA from 1 species